GUCCAAUACUUGAAAACCUACAUCUGUAACUUACACGUUCAUAUUACGAAGGGAAAUGUGGCUGACAAAUAUUUACACUAAAAAGACUCCACAUUUUUAUGCCUCGUCUAGUUACACUCCCAGCUGUGCCUGGCUAUGACUAGUUGUGCAUUCUAGAGCUCUUUAGAGCUACUUCAGAGUUGCAGGAUAAAGAUUUCUAGGGAAGAGGGCAGGGCCAGGCGCCCGGAGGAUUUCCAGCCACGGGUAGUUUACCGAGAGAAAAAGCUGCGGGCGUCGCUCCCUCUUUUACAUAAGAAAGGCUAAGCUCUAAAAGGCAGACAACUUCUUCCUGGCCCUUCGGAGAAGCUAGCCCUUGGAACCUAGGCCCUGAGUCGUGAGGAAGAGGAAAGACUACAUGGGGUCACUAUGUAAGGUGUUCCUGGUGACAGCUCCUGCUGAGGACCCAGCUGACAGCAAGCACCAACCUCCAGACAACAAGAGCUUUCUUCUGGCACAUCUGGUUUAUGUGAAUACAUUAGUGAGUUUCCCAGGAAGCCGCAGCAUCACACAAAGGCCCAUGAUCAUUUCACCAGAUAAUCCAUCUGUCCAAUGCUGAAGAAGUCUGCAACUAUUAUUCUAUUGGAGUCUACCUAUUUAACUCUAAUAAUAUUUGCCUCAUAAAUCUAGGCCUCUCGAGUGUGCUUGUUUUAUUCAGAGGCUUUUUGCUUUCUUAGAAGACAUUCUCACUCAAUAAUGUGGCAAUACAGGCAAAAUCAGCAGGCCAAGUUUCUGGAAGAAGAGCCAUUUAGGAGCUGCUCCUCCUUCAGCAUGAAUGUCCACUCUCAGACUUUGACAGUGAUGAGGAUAUGCCAGAACACCUCUCUGGCCCUUCAGAGAGCACCGGCCUAGCUGGACUCCGGAUCCCUUAGGGUCCAGCUCUGACUUCCCAUGGAGGCUGUCACCAGCUCACUUCCCUGUGGAACAUCUUCCUGACUCACAACAGCAGCCAGCUCUGCCAGGACUAUGAGCUUCCAGGUACAGCCAUGUUGAGGGGCAUGGCCACAGAGCAGUGACUAAAGGGACUAGUCUACAAAGGAUGUUAAGAUAUUGCUUGGAAAAACUGCAAAUUUGGUGCCAGUUGCUGCAGGUUUUCACCAGUGACUCCUUAUGAAAUGGGCAAGAUGUUAAAAAAAAAAAAAGCUCUCUUCAAUGCACAUAGUAAACUCUUUAUCUUGAAAAUGAACAUGCGAUAAGAGAAAAAGUCAUUUUUAAUCACCACUCUCCUCUAAGCACAGUGAAUACUGGUAGCUGGAGUAUCUUCUGUUUGCUGAGCACCAACUGCAAUAUUCAUCUCUGGCAUUAAUAGCUUUUGACAUACUUGAAGCAGUAUUAAGCAGUGGGUAGGGGUAUGCCAAUUUAGAGAUAGACUCUUGGAAAGACCUCAGUGGAUCUGCUGAGGAAACAGAGAGAGGUUGAGAAGCUGGGAGUGAAGGCUGAGGAGGGUGAGAAUCAAAGGGGAAAAGGAGAGGGAUCAGAGGGGGCUGCAGGGCUCAGAAGAAAGACUCAGGAAAGGAGGCAAACCUAAUAGAAAAUUUUCAAAGCUGCAGUAUACUUUCACUUCUACAACUUUUACCAAAUGAGGUGUAAAUAUUUUUAAAGCGACAGCUUGAAGGGGUAGCCUAUUAUUAAGCUGUCUGAAGCACACGUGUCUCAGUCUAGCCAUUUUGAUGCCCCAUCCCUCAAGGGGCUCUGCUCUGUGGACCUUGCCUCCUGGCUUCAUCUCACCUGGUGCCUGGAUCACAGUCCCCAAGCAGGUGUAGACCUAGCUGGGGAGUGGGAUAAUACCACACAAAGGGGUGAAGGAGGUGGGAAAGUACAAGAGAAAGCUUUCUCUCUGAUUGAGAUGAACAUCUUAAAAAAGACCCCUUUAUGAACAAAUGUUUUUCUUGGUAUACUGGAAUUAAAACCCUACCCAAAGCGCUAGCAACAUAAACAUCGAGAAGCAAGAUAUAUCGAUCUGGGGGCAUUCGAAGGAGAAUGAUGUAUAAAGUCACAAAAGCAUGAAGUAGAAAAUGAGAUGAACACCAGGAAUACAGCAUUUCACAGAUACUAUUGAAGUAACUACAAUAGCCAGAAAAUGUAGUGUUCAGAUAAUCCACACAAAUAGGUGACUUGCAAGGAUGAGGCAGGGAAAUCUUUUCAUUAGUUGACUAAAAAUGUACAACCACAAAGAGUCUAGCUUAAGCUUCACGUUGCUCAGAAUAGCACUGCACUAGUGUAGAAUGCAGCAGGUCGUCACUGCGGAGGCUCAGAGGUUCCGACUCUGCUCCUCCGUAGCCACAGAUGAGUCUGAUGAGGAACUUUCUAUAAAUAAUAAAUGCCUCAGCCUUGUGCUGCAUUUGCCUUAUUUAAAGGUAACAGAUUACUGGAAAGGGUAAGCAAGCCCCUGGGGCUCAGGGGUAAGCCUCACAAACUCUGAGCAGCCUUUUAUGAGCUUUUGCAGUACAAUAAUCUAUAUAAACCUCCUGGUGAUUGUCUUAUCUAGAAUAAGUAUUUAGAUAACAGAGGCCAGCCCAAUUCUCCCUUUGCUUUUCCCUGGUUAUAUAACAAAAAAUGGUGGCAUAGAUGAUGUGUUCCUUCUACCCCUCCCUCUUUCCCAUUUGCACGUUAUUGAACUAUUUCCCUUAAUUCUCCUAUAAGCUGGUGGAAGAUACAGACAGAAUGGCCAGACUCUACACUUCCACUGACAUUUAAAGGUCAAGUCUCCUUGUAUCAUAAAUAAUGAUAUCUCCCUUCCACACGUAGGGAAAGGAUAACUGAAAAUUACCUAAGGUCAGAGGGGGAGGGAACCUUUGAAAGUUCACCUGGCAAAAGGACUUGAUUUACUGCAAUUUUGCUGAACACUUUAGCUGAGAUAGCUCGUUUCAUGAAGAGUUGAAGGAAGUUAACAUCAAAGGAUGAAUUCAUCCAGCUAUUGUUUUUCACCUCUGUUGUUAAUUGAUUUUAAUUUGGUUACCCUCUCAAUAAAUAAAGACUUCUAAAACUGGGUCAAUGACAUAAAUAGAAUCUGGUUUUCAAAUAUUUUCUUUCAUAUAGAGGCUUUUAAAAAAAUAUUGCUGGAC
rnacentral:lncRNA from 10 species